GGGACCUGGCAGCAGCAAGUCUGAGACCGAGAUCGGCUCCCCGCGUCCUGAGCAUGCAAGUCAAGGAGCACGAAGCUGAGACAUUUAAAAUCAGUAGAAAAAAAUACAUAACAUUUAAAUAGAAAUACAAUUUAAAAAUAAUAGAAGCCUAAAAUGCAAGUAGAAAUGAAAGGCAAGCACAUCGGUAAUGUCGUUCUCAGAGCAAGACACAAAAAGACAAUUAAAAAAUAAGCAAAAAUUGCUGACAACCAUUCCUACAAAGAAGAAAUUACAAAUGUUUGUAAUGCAAUCCUACGAUUAGGAUAUCCCUAUCCGAUCUAAACCAGUACAUGUUACACCUAAGUCUAAAUUUCCUACCAAAUUAAAUAAAUAAAUAAAUAACAGUCAUGGUUAAACCUGUUUAGCUUAGACUAUAAAAUGGUAGGAAAAAAAGUCGCUUUCGGCGGGACUUGCUAUUGUCAACUGGGGCUUGGCAAAACUGAAAAAU
rnacentral:lncRNA from 1 species